UGCGUAGGCGGAUUAAUAAGUCAGUGGUGAAAACCUUCAGCUUAACUGGAGACUUGCCAUUGAUACUGUUAGUCUUGAGUACGGUCAAGGUAGGCGGAAUGUGUAAUGUAGCGGUGAAAUGCUUAGAUAUUACACAGAACACCGAUUGCGAAGGCAGCUUACUGGACCAUUACUGACGCUGAGGCACGAAAGCGUGGGGAGCGAACAGGAUUAGAUACCCUGGUAGUAC
rnacentral:rRNA from 1 species